GAACAGGUUAAAACAUUCACAAUUGUAUGACUUUAUGAGCAGCAUAUUAAAAAAAACUGUACAUUCAUUAAUAAACACGCUCGCAUUGCCCAUUCAUGCACUUUUGUCCAGAUAAAAGCUAGGAGGCGUACAAGAGGUGCAGCAGAGACUGAGAGCAUUAAAGGCAGCAAUUCCAUGGAGGCUGCACAUUUUCAGGUGAUACUACAUGAUUGAUGUAAGGCAAUUGAAACAGAGUGAGUGUCAUGCGACUGAUAUGCAUUAUCAGUCUAUCACUGGUAUAUAAAUAUGCUGAUCGAUCUGUUGUACUAUGGAUUCCCAGGCAGCAUUUUCUGAUUAUGUUACCGAUUUAUAGGUUCUCUUUGUAAAUCGGGAAAGGGAGAAAUUGCCACUGUUUUGAGGAGAGGAGGAGAACAGCCAGCAGAGCAUCAGGCCAUCUUUAUUGCAAUGAGAUCAUUGGCAAGUAAGGCAAUGAUGUUUCCAUGACUCAAGCAAUGCUCUUUACUCAGAAGUGAUCUUUUUGGUUCAUAGAAAUUACAGCACAAAAGACAGGCCAUUGAUCUUAAAUUCCCUGCCACCCCUCAAUACCCUUUUAAUUUGUUCCUCUGCAAAUAUUUAUCCGAUUUCCCUUUAAAGGUUUACCUGUUAACAAGCAAAGGAAAAAAAAAUUACCGAACACAUCAUUCUGUUGAUGAUGGCCUUUUAAUAUAUUGUUAGAAUGGAUCACCCAUCCUAUUGUCAGAGACACUCAUAUUUUAAGAGACUGACGUAGCUCAGAACAGUAUCCCAGCAACCCAGAAAUUCAGCUGACGCGUAGUCUUGUCCUCUGUAUUUUUGUUUACAAUCAUCUAGGUCAUUACUUGGUUUGGGAUCACUAGUUCUUGGUUUGCUGUAUUUCAAGAUAUUGUUCUAGAUCUAAAUUCUCAAUUCAAUUUAGAAUCUUAAGUACCUCCAUAAUGUUCCCUCUGAGUGUCUCUUUAAAGUCUGACAACUUCAAGCUGAUUUUCCCAUUUUUCAUAACUCAUUGUUCUGCUCUGUAUUGACUCUAGGGCCUGGGUAGGCCACCUCUUUUGAUUUUUUUUCCAGCCGUAUUUCUUAUAUGCGCAGAAAUUCAGCAUCAUGCUUAAGAGCAACCAAAUCAAACUGAGAGUUCCACAUUUGUAUGCCAGCUCCGCUUGGAAUUUUUCCUGUGUUUGGAAUGGAAUACACACUCUAUCCCUCGACACAGGUUGGCAAGAUCCAAGGCUUGGGGACUCCACAGCUUUUGUUGUAGCUACUGGAAAUGUAUACUAUAUUUAAGAUAUGGCCUGGCAAAAGCACUGCACACUUUGGAGGAUUUCUACCAUCUGCUCCACAAUAAGAGGGAUCAUCUUCAGAGGGAAGCAGAGGGGAAAUUUGUUGGAAAUAUAGAGGGGAAAAAAUACUUGAUGUCCUGCAUAACAAAUUGACUUUUGUGACUUAUUGACAUUAAAACCAAAAAGAGCUCAGACUCCAGAGUUCAACAUA